AUGCAUUGUAUGGAUUUGUGUUUGUAUGCAUAAGGGAUGCAAGGUGUGUGUCUGUAAGUGUGUGCAUUCAGUGUGUGUAAGAAAUGCAUUGUGUUUCUGUGUGUAUGUAAGAGACGCAAUGUGUGUGUUUGCAUGUGUGUGUAAGGGAUGCAUUGUGUGUUUCUGUGUAUGUGUGCAAAGGAUGCAUUGUCUUUGUGUGUAAGAGUUGCAUUGUGUUUAUCUGUGUGUAAGGGAAGCAUGUUGUGUUUCUGUGUGUGUAGGGAUGCAUUGUGUGUGUGUGCGCAUAGUGUGAAAGAGUUCCCUGUCCUGCCCCCUGUCCUAUAGAGCUUUCCCUUCUGUCCCUUAGAGCUCUCCUCUGCCCCUUAGUG